rnacentral:rRNA from 1 species
GAUGAACGCUGGCGGCGUGCCUAAUACAUGCAAGUCGAGCGAACGGACGAGAAGCUUGCUUCUCUGAUGUUAGCGGCGGACGGGUGAGUAACACGUGGAUAACCUACCUAUAAGACUGGGAUAACUUCGGGAAACCGGAGCUAAUACCAGAUGAUAUUUUGAACCGCAUGGUUCAAAAGUGAAAGACGGUCUUGCUGUCACUUAUAGAUGGAUCCGCGCUGCAUUAGCUAGUUGGUAAGGUAACGGCUUACCAAGGCAACGAUGCAUAGCCGACCUGAGAGGGUGAUCGGCCACACUGGAACUGAGACACGGUCCAGACUCCUACGGGAGGCAGCAGUAGGGAAUCUUCCGCAAUGGGCGAAAGCCUGACGGAGCAACGCCGCGUGAGCGAUGAAGGUCUUCGGAUCGUAAAACUCUGUUAUUAGGGAAGAACAUAUGUGUAAGUAACUGUGCACAUCUUGACGGUACCUAAUCAGAAAGCCACGGCUAACUACGUGCCAGCAGCCGCGGUAAUACGUANGUGGNCAGCGUUAUCCGGGAAUAUUGGGCGUNAAGCGCGCGUAGCGGUUUUUUAGUCUGAUGUGAAAGCCCACGGCUCAACCGUGGAGGGUCAUUGGAAACUGGAAAACUUGAGUGCAGAAGAGGAAAGUGGAAUUCCAUGUGUAGCGGUGAAAUGCGCAGAGAUAUGGAGGAACACCAGUGGCGAAGGCGACUUUCUGGUCUGUAACUGACGCUGAUGUGCGAAAGCGUGGGGAUCAAACAGGAUUAGAUACCCUGGUAGUCCACGCCGUAAACGAUGAGUGCUAAGUGUUAGGGGGUUUCCGCCCCUUAGUGCUGCAGCUAACGCAUUAAGCACUCCGCCUGGGGAGUACGACCGCAAGGUUGAAACUCAAAGGAAUUGACGGGGACCCGCACAAGCGGUGGAGCAUGUGGUUUAAUUCGAAGCAACGCGAAGAACCUUACCAAAUCUUGACAUCCUUUGACAACUCUAGAGAUAGAGCCUUCCCCUUCGGGGGACAAAGUGACAGGUGGUGCAUGGUUGUCGUCAGCUCGUGUCGUGAGAUGUUGGGUUAAGUCCCGCAACGAGCGCAACCCUUAAGCUUAGUUGCCAUCAUUAAGUUGGGCACUCUAAAUUGACUGCCGGUGACAAACCGGAGGAAGGUGGGGAUGACGUCAAAUCAUCAUGCCCCUUAUGAUUUGGGCUACACACGUGCUACAAUGGACAAUACAAAGGGCAGCGAAACCGCGAGGUCAAGCAAAUCCCAUAAAGUUGUUCUCAGUUCGGAUUGUAGUCUGCAACUCGACUACAUGAAGCUGGAAUCGCUAGUAAUCGUAGAUCAGCAUGCUACGGUGAAUACGUUCCCGGGUCU